rnacentral:rRNA from 1 species
UACAGAGGGUGCGAGCGUUGUUCGGAAUUACUGGGCGUAAAGCGCGCGCAGGCGGCUCUUUAAGUCCGACGGUGAAAUGCCGGGGCUCAACCCCGUGCCCGCCGCGGAUACUGGGGAGCUGGAGACGAGUAGAGGCAAGCGGAAUUCCUGGUGUAGCGGUGAAAUGCGCAGAUAUCAGGAGGAACACCGGUGGCGAAGGCGGUUCUCUGGGCAUUACCUGACGCUGGAGGAGCG